GACGAACGCUGGCGGCAUGCCUAAUACAUGCAAGUCGAGCGAACAGAUGAAGUGCUUGCACUUCUGACGUUAGCGGCGAACGGGUGAGUAACACGUAAGGAAUCUACCUAUAAGCGGGGGAUAACAUUCGGAAACGGGUGCUAAUACCGCAUAAUAUCUUCUUCCGCAUGGAAGAAGAUUGAAAGACGGCUCUGCUGUCACUUAUAGAUGACCUUGCGGUGCAUUAGUUAGUUGGUGGGGUAAUGGCCUACCAAGGCGAUGAUGCAUAGCCGACCUGAGAGGGGGGUCGGCCACAUUGGGACUGAGACACGGCCCAAACUCCUACGGGAGGCAGCAGUAGGGAAUCUUCCGCAAUGGGCGAAAGCCUGACGGAGCAAUGCCGCGUGAGUGAAGAAGGCCUUCGGGUCGUAAAACUCUGUUAUAAGAGAAGAACAAAUUGUAGAGUAACUGCUACAGUCUUGACGGUAUCUUAUCAGAAAGCCACGGCUAACUACGUGCCAGCAGCCGCGGUAA
rnacentral:rRNA from 1 species